AGUGCUUGGUUCCUAGUAGGUGUUCAGUAAGUGUUUGUGACAUAAUUCGUUUAUUGAGCACCUCCUAUCAAUCAAGCACUGUGCUAGGCUCUG
ensembl:miRNA